rnacentral:lncRNA from 10 species
GCGCUGUCACUUCCGGCGGCCGCGGCGUGCACUGUCGGUCGGCGGCUAAGGAGGGGAGGCACCUGCAUCUGGGGCGCGGCGAAUCCUCGCGUGCGCCAGGCCGCCUGGGGUAGUCGCCGAGACUGCGCCGGCCAGCGGGGCCGAAACCUAAUCAGGAGCUGAGCUUUGAUGGCGGCUUCUGGAGGGACAAAGAAGGCGCAGAGCGGUGGGAGGAGGCUGCGAGAACCUAGCUCCCGCCCCAGCCGACGUGCGAGACAAAGGCCCCGGCGCGGGGCUCUUCGGAAGGCCGGGAGGUUCCUGUGACAAUGCGAGUCUGCGCCCCACGCUCCCGCACCGUGAUGCCGAGGCCAAAUGGCUAGAGUGGGCCCAGGCAUCAGCAUUUCUGUUUGGCAGCCGGGCAGUUGUGGUGCACGUUUUGAGGAACUACUAAAGCCUGCCUGUGAUGAAAAAGGCAAAAGCUGACUUCACCAAAAUUACUCCCAGGGAGACUUCUGCAUUUGGCUGGAAGGACAUUUGAGUAAACCGCUGAGGCUGGUGGUUGAAACAUAAUCCUCUAAGGGAGAUCGGUUCCGAUACCCUGAGUUAGGGACGCUUGCCUGGGCAGAGCUAAGGGGAGAAUGAUCAAAAGCCAAGCUCUGUCCCCGUCAGCACGUCACCCUCCCUCACUGUAAUCCCUGACUGUUUUCUCUAAAUGAAGAAUUAUUUAGAGAAUAUAAAUUAGAAGGGCCGCCACGUCAGAAUUGCCUGAGUGGGAGCAGUCUUUCCAGCCUCGAAAAAUGUUUAAACAAUAUGCAGAUGACCUAGCACAAAUAAAGAAUGCUAGCAACCGCUGUUAUGUGUGAGCGGUGGAAUUGGGAGGGCUCUUCCCCCAAUCUUCAUCAAACAGAGUAAGGUUUAGAAUAAAAAUAAUGAAAUACAGUCUUUCAAAAAGAGCAGCGCUUGACUAAUGUUACUGAUGUCACUCAUGUUACUCAAGGGAGGAAAGAACUCAAACUCUACAUAAUAAUACCCACUGAUUUCAAGGGCUGGCACGGAGAAUUAAGCAGACCGCCAUUCUUUAUAUUUGUUUUUUUGUUGUUGUUUGCUUAUGAUUUUUUUCUUUCUUUUUUUUUUUUUUUUUUUGAGAAGGGGUCUCGCACUGUCACCCAGGCAGGAAUGCAGUGGCGCGAUAAUGGCUCACUGCAAUCUCACUAUAUUGACCAGUAUGAUUUUCAACUCCUGUCUUUAAGCGAUCCUCACGCUUCGGCCUCCCAAAGUGCUGGGGUUACAGACAUGUGCCACUAUGCCCUGCCUAAAUAUGUUUAUAUAUACUACCGCCAAAGAAACAAUUUGAAGACGAUCUUUCCCCAGCCCCUCUCCUUCUGAUCCAACUCCAAGAGCUCACCCUCCCUGUAAGACCUGUAGCAGAGCACGUAUUGGCCUGCUGAUACUAGGGGCAAAGACCGGGCCGAUCAGAUGUUACAUGGCAUAAGGGCGAAGGAUUCUGAAAGAAAGACUGAGACUUGCUGGAGGAAGUACUAGUAGUGCCAAGGGCAGGUAUGUGACCCUCGGAGCUGCAGAGCCAGGAACUCAACUGUUAGGCAGAAGGGAGGAAUGUACUGUUGAUAUGGACAGACUCCAAGAAGGGGAGGGACUGCUGGGACUACUAGAACGAGAAUGCCUCUGCCCCUAUGGCUCAGCUCUGCAACUCUCUCUGCACAUUGGCUUCAUGCUGUUAGACCAGCUUCCUCCAUAUGUCUGGAAACAAGGCCACUGACAGCUCCCAACAUUUCAUCUUCUGCCUCAUCAUCAGACAGGCGAGGUACACAGAAGAAAGGCCAUGUGAGGACACAGCGAGAAGCAAGUAUCUGCAAGUCAAGAAGAAAGGCCUCAACAGACACCAGCCCUGCCAGCACCUUGAUCUUGGACUUCUGGCCUCCAGAACUGUGAAAGAAUAAAAUUCUGUUGUUUAAGCCACC